GGAACACUGAGUUUGAGAUUGGGAAUCGAUGGGGACGGAGGAAGGAGGGCACGGAAACGGAACGAAGGUGAUACCUUUGAUUGAGAAGGCCACCAACUCCACCGCGCCGGAGGUCGAUCCCCGUCUCCUCAAGGCCAUUAAAACUGUGGUUCGAUAUUCCGAUUCGGAGCUCCGCGUCGCUACCCUUACCCUCAUGGAUCUCAUGAAGCGCGACCAUGCUCAGAUUCCAACUUUCAUCUACAGCAAAAAUUCCUCUGAUUGACUUUGACAGACAUGUGUUGCAGGUCCGGUACCUUGCGCUUCUAAUAAUCGAUGAACUAUUCAUGCGUUCAAAGCUUUUUAGGACCCUUGUUGUUGAGAACAUGGAUCAGUUGCUGAGUUUGAGUGUUGGAUUCAGGCGAAACGUGCCUCUUCCUGCUCCACCUGCUGUUGCGACUGUUUUACGUUCGAAAGCCAUUGAAUUUUUGGAGAAGUGGAAUGUGUCGUUUGGGGUUCAUUACAGACAGCUUAGAUUGGGUUAUGAUUAUCUGAAGAAUACACUUAGACUCCAAUUUCCUAACAUACAAGCUAACGUGGAGCGGGUUCAACAGGAGAGAAGGGAAAGGGAGAGGAGGUCAAAGGAGAUUUUACUGAGCAAGUAUGAAUCUUUGAAAGAGAAUUCAUCUUCAAUAAAGGCAGCGAUUUUAUCUACGAUGGAUGAGAUUGAUGAGUGUUUGGACAUUUUGCAUGCGAAACGAGAGGAGUGUGUGUCAGAUGAUGUAUUGGACAGCGACGAACACGGUGACUUUCAUUCUUUGGAGCUGCAGCAGCUUCGUCUUGAAGCAUUAAAAGAAGGGGAGAAGGUUUAUGAGAACAGUGAUAAUACAGUGGUUUUUGAUACAUUGAGGGAACUAUACAAACUUCUGGUGGCAAAGCACUUGAUUACAAUCCAAGAGUGGAUUUCUGUUUUAGUAAGAGUUGAAGUAGCCGACAAUAGAUUCAGAGAUUCCAUUUUGAAAGAGUUCAUUGAUAUCCGAAAUCGUCUAAAAUCGGUUAAAAGUAAAUGUGAAGAGGCUGGUUGUUUGCUCGUAAACUCAUCAAAACAUGAUGAGGAAGAUUUUUGGGAGGAGGAUAACGUUGUUUCUAUGAAAACCUCAUCUAGCAUACCCAAUAAUAAAAAUAAACAUGUUGGUGCUCUUAAAAUGAAUAAUGCUAAUCUUGGUUUGCACAGUAACGGGUCUAAUGGCUCUGAAACGGAUAGCCUGCGUCAUCAGGUACAUGAAGUUGAGUCAGACCCUGAGAGGAGUAAACUUAUAGCUGAAGCUCCUGUGGUACGAUGGAGUUCUUACUUGGAUAAUUGGGGUUCAAACAGGGUUUUUAUGGCUAACCAGCGGGGUUUGGAGCUUGAUAGUCACUGGGGUAGGGUGGAUGCUGAUGCAGUUAUUCCAGCAGAUAAAAUUGCCGAAUUGAAUGUUCACGCAAUGCCUUAUGAAGAGAAGAAAACUGAAAUCCAACCAUGCCUGGCUCCUUUGAAGAAAGGAGGAUUGUGCCAGAGAAGAGAUAUGAAACUUUGUCCAUUUCAUGGACCUAUCAUUCCUCGAGAUGACAACGGGACGCCACUCAGUCAGAGCUCUUUAGAAGGCGUGAAUGUGGAUUUAAGGACUGAUCUAGUAGAGCAGUUAGCCAAACAAGCAGUGAAAAAUAUUCGUGAGAGAGAUCAAGAGGGGGCAAAGAAGAGAGAAAUUGAUAAACAGUCGCUUAAACGUGCAAAACUAGCAAAAAUUCGGGAACACAAUGAAGCUGUUUUACGGGAUGCUGCUUUGGCUUCUACUUCAAGAUCAGCCACGCUUGGAGAAGAUGGGGAGUUAACUAAUGAAGAUAAACAAAGUCUUGCGUCCAUGCUGCGAAAGAAAGUAACAUCAAAAGAUAGAAUAGCUGAGAAACUUUUAAGUUCGCGUGCAAGGGUUACUUCAGAUAGGCAGCAUAUGUCAAGUGAGGAUGCCAAAUAUAGAGAAGCGUUCCCAAAUCAAUGGUAAACUGGUUAGAAUCUUUGUUAAGCUUGUCUGAUUACUCUGAAGUCCGAACCAUACUUCAGAUUUUGGGUAAAACCAUGCCUGUUAGUCAUGGGGCUGGUUAGUAAGUAAAAUAAAACAAAACAAACUACAUCUAUUCUUGUAGACAGACUUGUAAGGACCAGCUUGGCUGUAAGGGAUAAAUGUAAGCAGUUGCUUGGUCAGUUCCCGUGUUUCAAAUUUUUAAAUUUAUUUUGCUCAUUUUCUGUAAAAUGUUUGCAUAACGGUAGAUGCCAGAGGAUUACUACAUGUUCGGCAAUCACGCUACACUAAAUUUCUCUUGUAUUUAUUAGCACCAUCACUGCUUUGUAACAAGUCUUCAGUCCAUUAAAUAUUACUAUUAUUGUACUAAAUUUCAAAAUCACAUAGAUGCACAUUGACUGUGGAUUUCUAUCGGUGAGCAAAUUAAAUUGUGGGGUUGAAACACCAGUUGGAACCCGGAAGAAAUCUUGGAAUGCCUUGUGUGAUGUUUUAGCUACCAGAAAGGUGUCAUAAAUGGUUCCCAUUACCAUUAAAGAAGAGCAGUUGACCUGUCGGAUAAGUGGUCUGAGUUGUCGCUGCCGGUGGUGGACCUUCAUGGCUACUAAAGCGAAGUAUUUAUUCCCUCAACGAGAAAAUAUUUUUGAGAAAAGUACAAUCCCGCAUGAUGUGGAAAAUUUUCAGCUUACUCAAACGCCUUGAAGUAUCCUCAGGUGUUGCUUUCAUCAGUAAGAGGGUUUUUAUUUUUUAUUUCAUGAUUUCAAAAUAAAGGGAGCACGAAGGUGGAGAAGAGUCACUGCCUCACUGGGAACUAGAAAAAGAAUAUUCCUCUUGCCCCAUUUUUUGGCACCAAACCUGAACUUUUGCUGUCAACUGUUCUCUGUAUGGUUAUCACUUGUGGCUCGCGAGGGAAACUUUUGUCAGUACACUACACAACCACUUGGGCAAAAAUGUGACAAAAAAUGUUGAGAUGAUGAGCGCACGACGGGAAUCAGCUCAGAAAAGUCAGGGAACUACUACCGAUACGUUUGAGCAACUAAGUAUUUUCAUGCAAUCCUAAUACUAUAAUAGUGCACUGAUUCUCACACCAUGAUUCUUGUUCUGCUUUGAUGCACAGUGGAGGAGCUUACGGGUAAACAAAGGGAAAAAAGUUACUUCAGAUUGUUUGUUCUCUCUGUGACAUUAUUCGCUCUAAUCUUUCAUUGGAAAGCGUUUUCUUCUUA